rnacentral:tRNA from 1 species
GGCCCCGUCGUCUAGCCUGGUCUAGGACACGUGCCUUUCACGCACGCAACACGGGUUCGAAUCCCGUCGGGGUCA